rnacentral:rRNA from 1 species
AGCGAACGCUGGCGGCAGGCUUAACACAUGCAAGUCGAACGCCCCGCAAGGGGAGUGGCAGACGGGUGAGUAACACGUGGGAACGUACCCUUUGGUUCGGAAUAACUUGGGGAAACUCAAGCUAAUACCGGAUAAGCCCUUAUGGGGAAAGGUUUACUGCCGAAGGAUCGGCCCGCGUCUGAUUAGCUAGUUGGUGAGGUAAUGGCUCACCAAGGCGACGAUCAGUAGCUGGUCUGAGAGGAUGAUCAGCCACACUGGGACUGAGACACGGCCCAGACUCCUACGGGAGGCAGCAGUGGGGAAUAUUGGACAAUGGAGGCAACCCUGAUCCAGCCAUGCCGCGGGAGUGAUGAAGGCCUUAGGGUUGUAAAGCUCUUUUACCCGGGACGAUAAUGACUGUACCGGGAGAAUAAGCCCCGGCUAACUUCGUGCCAGCAGCCGCCGUAA